rnacentral:tRNA from 2 species
GUGCCUGUAGCUCAGUUGGAUAGAGCAUCUGCCUUCUAAGCCGAGGGUCGCAGGUUCGAAUCCUGCCAGGCACGCCA